AGGAUAAUAGUUAACAAUAACAUUUAAUUUGCAUUUAAAAAGUACUAGUACCUAGUUUAUCUUA
rnacentral:tRNA from 1 species